GCCCAUUGAAAGGGGCCAGAUUGGACUCAGGGUUUGCGGCUCGCGGUCCAAGCCCGACACUGCUCAUGAGGGUUGGCACGACCCGCGGGCCUGGGCUGGCCCGUCCAAGCAUGACACGGCCCGGCAUGAUUCAGGCCCGAUCCAGGCAUGGCACGAUCAGGCCCGAUCCAAGCAUGAUUUCGUCAUCUACAUGUUCAUUUCUUGUUAUUAAUUGUAAUGAAACUCAAAAAAAGAA
rnacentral:lncRNA from 1 species